UACGAAGGGGCUAGCGUUGCUCGGAAUCACUGGGCGUAAAGGGUGCGUAGGCGGGUCUUUAAGUCGAGGGGUGAAAUCCUGGAGCUCAACUCCAGAACUGCCUUGAUACUGAGGAUCUUGAGUACGGGAGAGGUGAGUGGAACUGCGAGUGUAGAGGUGAAAUUCGUAGAUAUUCGCAAGAACACCAGUGGCGAAGGCGGCUCACUG
rnacentral:rRNA from 1 species